rnacentral:rRNA from 1 species
UACGAAGGGUGCAAACGUUGCUCGGAAUCAUUGGGCGUAAAGCGCACGUAGGCGGCCUGUUAAGUCGGAUGUGAAAUCCCUCGGCUCAACCGAGGACGUGCAUUCGAAACUGGCAGGCUCGAGUAUGGAAGAGGGUCGCGGAAUUCCCGGUGUAGAGGUGAAAUUCGUAGAUAUCGGGAGGAACACCAGUGGCGAAGGCGGCGACCUGGGCCAAUACUGACGCUGAGGUGCGAAAGCGCGGGGAGCAAACAGG